CCAGUGUUUAAAAAUACAUUGCUUGUUAUGAACCGUUUUGGUAUCGUUUGAAAGCAGUACAACUAGAAACAAAACAACCAUUAAAGUGUAAGACCACCAUUGAUUUUCCCAUUUAAAUGUUUGUUAAAUUUGCACUUUUCAAAAAAUUGGGCAGAAUUUAUCUUGGUUUUAAAUAAAGAAAUACUUGCCAUGAGUGAAGUUUUAUCCUGUCCAAGACUAUAGAAGAAAAAUCAUAUAACAUUUCAUUGCAUAUAAUAAAAUAACCAUCACUGGAAGUUAACCAAUCAAAAUUUUCCCCUUAUCUAACCUGUGUAUAAGCUUCAGUAACCAUGUAACUUCCAAAAUAUUCUAUAGAAACCUCAAAUAAAACAAAAAAUGGUGCUGUGAAAUACCCAAGAUGUAUGUUUAUGACCCAGAAAUGUACAGCAAUGAAAUGUGGGAUUAAUUACCCACAACUGUUAAAUUCAAGGGAAUAUCUUUUUUCGACAUAUUUCCGUAUGAAACUGUAUGUGACGUACCAUAAUUUGGUGGUAUUACACCUAAACUGAAAACAUAUUAGAUAUGCAAUGUACUUAAACAUGAAUAAAUUGACUAAAACAAUAUCUAUAGAAACACAA
rnacentral:lncRNA from 1 species